rnacentral:lncRNA from 1 species
AAGAAAACGUUGCCUCAGUAAUUGGGUUUUCAAAGUCAUAAGGGCAGGUAAGUGUAUCUCCUUUAAAUGAUAUGAAAGUUGAAAGAGAAUAAUAGUGGAAAAGCAAAACAUAAGAUAAUCUAAAUUAUCUUGCGCUUAACUGAUGAAGAUUGAAAAUCCUCAAGAAGAGUGUUCAAAGUUCUCAAGUAGCUUUGAUAGGUACUUUUCAACCUAUGUGGAUUAAUACUGGCUUGGCACGCAAAAAAAAAAAAGGCCUGUGUUUCUUGAUGUAACACGCUAGUUCCUUUUUCUUUUUCUUCUUCUUCAAACGAAGUCCAAGAAGAAAUUAAAUCUCAACCUGCAGAUAUCACUUCGCAAAUGGGGUAGGGGAAGAGAUUAAGUCUCGACCUGUAGAAUAUCACCUCUUACGAGUGAUUAUAUUAUAUGAAUCAAUUUAACUAAACAUUGGAUUCUUGAUAUUUUCCUUUUACCUUCAAAUGAAUAUUCUAGCUAAGACUUUAUUUCUCUGGUUUUUAUUGUUUAUUGAUCUUUUGUGAUUGCGUUUCCAAUCUUCUAACAUUGAAUUUAUCACUAUCUAGAUUCUAGACCUCAGCAAUGAGGUUCAAGUAAAGGUCGAUUUCAGAUUGGCAAAUUGGCGCAUGAUGGCUAAGUACUUGAAAACUACUGCAACAAUACUAGGGCAAGACAUGUGGAACUGUUUUAAUUGACUUCAACUGUAGUUUUCAAUUAGGUUUCACUCUCAAGAGAGGACAAAAACUGGUAACUGAGCAACCCCAUGUUCUUGUUCAUGGAUACCAGAAACAUAUUCCAAGGAAGCUUAUUUUCGGAUCUCUGCCUAGCUAUGGUUAUGACUAACCCUGUUUCCUUCUAUAAAAUGUCGUCUAAAGAUUGCAGUCCAAAACUAAAUGAUAGGCUUGAAAUUGAUAGGAGUUUGGACAUUAUCAAAUGUAUAAUAUCAGUAAAGUUUAACAUAUUUAUAUCUGCAGAAAUUAUUGCUUACAUUAUUGUAAUUAGAGUCAAAAGCAGCAUUAUGUAAGUUGAUGGUGGGAAUUAAAAGAAACAUGAUCAAAC